rnacentral:lncRNA from 1 species
UUAUAUAUGUAAAAUAAUUGGCGUAACAAUAUAAUUGAUUAUAUUAUAUAGGCUAUGACUACUAUACUAUUAUGAGUAUUGAAGCCCUCGUACUCAUAAGUUGUUUUCAAUGAUGGAGCUUCCGAAUCGACGAUCCACUCUGUUAAAUAUGAUCUAGAGUAUUUGAAACUUCUAGAAAAUUAAUUUCGUAAAUUUUCGAAAUCAUAAUAAAGUCCAUCAAGUGGGCAUAAAAUGAACGGUCAAAAUCGAACGACGUCCUAAAAAAAGAUAAUCGGAUCCUUCAAUUCAAGAUCGGAGUUAUUGAUCUUUAUCUAUGUAGUGAAUAGAAUUUUCUAUCAAAAAUUCAACAAAUUCUGAUUAUUUUACACCAUUAAACUAGCAAGUAUCCCAUACCGGCCGUUAAAAAUUGUCAAAUUUGUGACCUCUUGAUCGUAAGGUAAAUGAUGUCGAAAAAUUAUAAAUUUUGAUUUCUAGAAGUUUUAAAUGCUGUAAAUAACGUUUAACGUUGUGGAUCGUCGAUUCGGAAGCUCUAUCAUCGAAAACAACUUAUGAGUACGAGAGCGAUCAUACUCAUAAUAGUAUAGUAGCCGGACCCAUAUUAUAUAUGAUAAAGUUGUUAAAAAUUUUUGUUGGUGGUUUAUUAUUGGUUAAAACGCACUCAACUUUGUGCCACAAGCCUUGUGGCAACAGACUCAAGAGAUUAAUAAAUUCAGUUGGAUAAGUUGAAUAAAUUGAGUGGAAUUGUGAUUCACAAUAGACAUAAUGGCAAGAGAUCUAAUAAUAAAUUUAACGUUCAGAUGGAUUAAGUAGGGUCGAUAUUCGUGAGCAUUGUAGUUGAGCUUUUAAAUAUGAUGAAUACGCCCUUCCCAUCAGAAAAUAUUUUUGGGAUAGUUUGUCAGCAUUUACAAUCCAUAGAUUGAUCGUGGGAUACAUUGACAAUAAUACAAGUACUAUUGGAAAAGUUCUUUCUAAUCUUUAAGCAAAAAUUUUUUAAAGUAAUUUUAAAAUGCAAUAAUUCAAUUUCAGUUUUGAGCAGAAAUUAAGUAGCGAAAACUGUAGAGAAGAAAGGAUUAGAUGAAGCCUGUAAGUCAAGGCGUGCAAAGCACUAUACUAUAAGCGAGAUUGUCCCUCCAAGUUUGAGGCUUCGGCAGUCACUUCCAGCGAUACAAUGACCACCGUCCAUCCCAUCGGUCUGGUUUCAGGGUGGUGCAAUACGAACCCAACAAGCUAUCAGAGAUCCAGUC